CGAAAGCCUGACGGAGCAACGCCGCGUGAGGGAGGAAGGCCCUUGGGUUGUAAACCUCUUUUGAUGGGGAAGAAUUCUGACGGUACCCAUCGAAUCAGCAUCGGCUAACUCCGUGCCAGCAGCCGCGGUAAUACGGAGGAUGCAAGCGUUAUCCGGAAUUAUUGGGCGUAAAGCGUCCGCAGGUGGCUUUUCAAGUCGGCUGUCAAAGCAUGGAGCUUAACUCCAUAGAGGCGGUGGAAACUGAAAGGCUAGAGGCCGGUAGGGGUAGUGGGAAUUCCCAGUGUAGCGGUGAAAUGCGUAGAGAUUGGGAAGAACAUCGGUGGCGAAAGCGCACUACUGGGCAGGACCUGACACUGAGGGACGAAAGCUAGGGGAGCGAAAGGGAUUAGAUACCCCUGUAGUCCUAGCCGUAAACGAUGGAGACUAGGCGUAGCUUGUAUCGACCCGAGCCGUGCCGAAGCUAACGCGUUAAGUCUCCCGCCUGGGGAGUACGCACGCAAGUGUGAAACUCAAAGGAAUUGACGGGGGCCCGCACAAGCGGUGGAGUAUGUGGUUUAAUUCGAUGCAACGCGAAGAACCUUACCAGGGCUUGACAUCUGUAGAACCUGAGUGAAAGCUUGGGGUGCCUUCGGGAGCUACAAGACAGGUGGUGCAUGGCUGUCGUCAGCUCGUGUCGUGAGAUGUUGGGUUAAGUCCCGCAACGAGCGCAACCCUCGUUCUUAGUUGCCAGCAUUAAGUUGGGCACUCUAGGGAGACUGCCGGUGACAAACCGGAGGAAGGUGGGGAUGACGUCAAGUCAGCAUGCCCCNUUACGUCCUGGGCAACACACGUACUACAAUGGUCGAGACAGAGGGCAGCGACCUCGCAAGAGCAAGCGAAUCUCAUCAAACUCGGCCUCAGUUCAGAUUGCAGGCUGCAACUCGCCUGCAUGAAGGAGGAAUCGCUAGUAAUCGCCGGUCAGCAUACGGCGGUGAAUUCGUUCCCGGGCCUUGUACACACCGCCCGUCACACCAUGGGAGCUGGCCACGCCCGAAGUCGUUACCCUAACCCCGAAAGGGGAGGGGGAUGCCGAAGGCAGGGCUAGUGACUGGGGUGAAGUCGUAACAAGGUAGCCGUACCGGAAGGUGUGGCUGGAUCACCUCCUU
rnacentral:rRNA from 1 species